UUUUCAACAACAUGUGAUAUUACAUCACAGAAGGGAGUCACUCUCCUCGUCCCAGCUGCAGUACACUGAGCAGUGCUAGGUACUAAUAAGCCUGAGCGGUCGUUAUCUAGUGAUUUUUUGUUUGUUUGUUUUUUCGCUAGUUUUGCAUUUCAUCAUUUUUCAUCAUCAUGAAUAAUUGUGUUUGUGCAGGCUGCACAAAUUCCAGCCUGUCAGGACCUGAAGUCCACUUUCCUCGCAGGAACAGCAACAGCUAGCUUUCAUGCAGUUGAAGAGACAGACUUCACUGCUGCCUAUGUGACUGUGACUCAUUUUAGACAGGAGGGUUAUGUUAUUUGCGAUAUGAUGAAGUUCAGGAUGGAAUGUCAAAGCCAGGACUGUGUGAGGCUGUUAGCUGGUGCGGUUUCUCUGGUAAACAAAGCUGCUUCAUCAGUUCUGCCUUCAGCAGCAGUGCUGACUAGAGGGAUUCAACAAAGAGAUGAACUGUUCUGGUAAGUCCUUGUUCCAAUGUUUUUAACUUCGAGAUCAGUCAACAUGCUAGCUUGAAUUGAAAAGUAACAUCUGAUGUGUGUUAAUUCUUGUGAGGCAGCGAAACUAACCUGUAAAACCACCAGCCAAUGAGGGAUAAUGCUAAUGUUAGUUAACUAACAUUGUUAGCAUCCUAUUUUGUAAACGCGGUUACCGUCUGACGCGGCAUGACGUUAGUUAUUAACUUAUCUAACGCAGGAUCUUGUGUCUAGUUACAUAGCUUGGUGACUUUCUGUUUGUUAAGCUAGAACAUUUGUAAUUGUUUAUUCUCAUGUGGUGUUAUGUUAAUGUGAUAUAAGGUUUUUAUAAGGAUUGAUCUUCACCAUAUUUUCCUGCAUAAUAGUGUAUAUAUGACAUUGCACUGCUGUAAAAUAAUGUAAAAUGAGAGUUACUCUCAAAAAGGACAGACACAUAUUUGCAGUUUCAAGCUUUCUGUGUAACUUUGAAACCAUCUCAGGAGCAAGUAGAGAUGUCAGGAAACAGCUAAUAAAUAGCAGGUGUGCCAGCUGAUUGUUCAGCAGCAUCUGAUAAUGUCUCAACAUCAUGUAAAAGCCUUCAGUUCCUUUCCCCAACAUCUUUAACUUGUGUUGAGUCCAGAAUGAACAAACCAUUCCUUUAAUGCCUGGCAUGUUGGUAAAAAUUGUAUUCUGAUGUUUGUAGUUUAGUUUAAGUUGGCUGUCUUUUAUGUCUAACAUUUUCUUUUCAACAUAUUGUUUCUGUUCUCAAACAGGUCCAGGGAGGCUUUGGAUGCAGGCAUGAAGGAGAGGGAGUGGAGAACCUGAGGCUGUGGAGGCCAGCCGUCAUCAACCAGUUAGCAGUUUCACAUAUGCAUCAGCACUGAUGGAGUCUCUGAGGGAGAACUACUCCAUGUCACCAAAGAGUACACACAAGAGUGCACUGGAGUCCCUCUCCAGAUCCUGCCGGCAGAUCACUAAACACAAGGCAGUCAGCCUGUAACCUGCACAGCCUUGAUGGUUUAACACAAGACUUUAGUGUGAAAUCCAGCACAGCUGUUGGGGAUCUUCAUUUACAGUUUGACAUUAUCAUUAUUAUUAUUGUUAUUAUAGAUUUUUUUUACAAUUCAUAUUUACCAAGAGGUUACAUUUUUAGUUUCAGACUGACUCAUUUCCUUUGUUGUUUAUAUUUACGUCAUGGUGUGGGUUUUGACCGUUUCAGUGGAACUACUUAGUUCCCUUGAAACUGUCUGUUCUUAAAUAAUGCUCUGAGUAAAAUGAGUGACCAUAGCAACAGGGGCACAAUGAGAGCCUUUACAAUUUAUUGCAACACGUUAACAAGCUAAUAUCUAAUUACAACAAUGAGUGACUUCAACAUUUCUUUUAACUUAUUUGGAGACUAUGACAACUUUGGUGACUGGGAUGCAGCUGAAGAAAGAGAAAUUGAGAAGAAAAAGGAGAAACAGCACAAGGAGUUAACACUUAAAGAGGAGAAUUAAAUCAAAAAGAAGAUCAAAAGGAUGAGAUCAACACAAAGAAAACAACACUGAGAGACUUCCUUGCACAGAAACUAAUGGACCCCAACUUUGAAAACUAUGAGUUUUCAAUCAUAUAUGUCCAAAUGUCCAUCAGAUGCCAAAUCUUUCUACCUCCACCGGAAGCGUGCCGUAACCUCUAACGUAGUGCAGGCAGGAGCAGAUGUCCAUUACCUCAGGAACAUGAUGAAAAAGAUCAGCAAAGAGAUGAUUAUACUUAAUGUCUAUUGGCUAAUAAAGACAUGACACUAAAUAAUAUUUUCUCCUUCCAUCCCCAAAAUAUAAUUAAUAUCCUUAUUAUUCUUCCUUUCAGGUGGGUCUUUUGCGAGUCUACACAAACCACAGCCUGCCAAGCACCAUUUCCGUUGCAUACGAACCUAAUGAGAUGGUAAUGAUAGUGUAGAUGAUAAUCUCUUCUUACUCAAACCCUGCGGUAUUACCAGAGAAACAAAGUUAUGGCUUGUGAAAAACUUGAGAUUUUGAUUGCAAAACGCAUGAAAACAUAAAUUAAUGGUGUUCAUUUUUUUUCUUUGGUAAGUGACCAUGGGGAUAAGGCCCGACAAGGAUUAAUGGACAUUAAUUCCUGAUUUCAACACUUUGUUGGUUGGACAACGUGAACAACACAUGGAACAACCUUAGCAUUCAAGGCUGCAAAACGUACGCCCUUUUAUCGACAUGUGUGAUGAGCUAAUAUCAACUCGUCAGCAGGGUAGAACACGAAUUGUUCAGACCAAGAUGAAGUUUUGGACCUUUGAACACAUUUAACAUUCAACAUCAUAACAGGAUAUGAAUGACAGAAAAUCACAAAAAGCAUGAUAUGUCCCCUAUAAGAUUCAGUUUAAAUGCCUGUGAAACUGA